CUUAGCCCCCAGCAACUGCAGCAUAUCCAGAAGGUGAUUUAAUUAGGCUAUUCUCAAAUACAAAAAUAGUAUGUCAGUCAUAAUAAUAUCAUCAAUUUUUUCACUUUUUGAUUUGUUACUGUUUUUUAUGUUGCCUUCUUAUCUUAUUCCUUGUUAUAUAUAAUAAAUUGAAAAAAGUUCUUAAUUUCAUAAAUGGUGGUUAGCAUUUUUCUAUGAUUUUUUUAAACAAAAGGGACAUUGGAGCCAAUUUUAAGGUAAGACUUGAAGGCCGAUUACAUGCAUGUUUUUUACAGUUUCAGGCUUAACUUGCCUUGUAGAGAUUAUCUAAAGGAUUGGUUAGAUACAUUGAUAACAACAUCAUUAGCUAGCAUUUGUAAAUUUAUUUUAUAUAUGAAAUUUAGUAUUAUUUGUUUUAGUGGUUGAGCUUUCGAUUCUUAUUUUAGGGUUUAUUUGUUUAUAUUUGAUGUUUGUUUCAUGGGACCUCCUCUGUGUUGUGGGCUAUUGAGCUUUGUAUGUUGGCUUGGGAGUCUUCUUUGUCACAUAACGAAGAGAUUUUGUGAAUACAUGUGAAGUGGAUUUUUUUUGUUGCAUGGGCUACGACUUUCCAUUGCUCUAUUUUCGGGCUAAACCCUCUCAAGUUAUGCCCGUACUUGUUUGGGGCUGACCCUGUAAACUUUCUGAAGACCCCGUAAUCCUUGGGAAGAAGUUCACUCAUUAUGGGCCUACUAGCCCCCCAGCCACUGCAUGCUUUGUCGGUUUUGCCAUUGUGUUCUGAUUUUCUAUAUAUUUAGCAAAAAAUAAAAAAAAAAAUGUAAUCUGAUCCAAUCAAACAGUCCUCAGCUCCACGUGACUGAGCAACAGCUCGCCCCAUUCUUGUUGCGUCAUUUCUUUAUUUAAUGCUCUUCGAGUAUACUAACACAUGACAUGCUCUAUAAAUAUAAUUUUACGGAGGAAAAUGGCUGGCGAUGAAAUACUGCCGCAAGAAACAGAAGGUAAAAAUUUACCUACGUCCAGCAUUGACAGAAAUCGAAGCCAGGGUGAAGCACAAGAACAAGAACCAGCUGAAUCGAGGGGUAGGAAGCGUGCUGGCCUAAGAACUCGCUUUGAUUUAUGGACUGAAUGGUUUUACGAGGCAGUGCGAGGGGGAGACCUGCAUGGGGUGAAAAUGUAUCUUAAGACUAAGAGAGAGCUGCUUGGCACAAGAUUCACAAAAUUCGAAGAGAAUACUCUUCAAGUCGCAGUGGUUUCUGGACAGGAAAAGAUUUUUAGUGAGUUAAUGGAAGAAGACGGUUCCAAUAAUAUCUUGAAAGAGAAGAACAUGUACGGAGAAACAAUACUCACUCUUGCCGCCGCCCAAGGCAACAUCAAGAUUGUGGAGCGAUUGGUGGGAACAUGCGAUGAACUAGCGGCAUUCCCAAUGACAAUGGAUAUUUACCCAUCACUGUGGCUGCUUUAUUUGGAAACAAGGAAAUUGUUUGCUUUCUGUUUAAUUUUACUUUGCAAAUUUAUUUUUUCAAUCCAAGCUGCCGGCAUGUUGAAGAAGAAGUGAACAUGACUAAUUCAACUCAGUCGAGUGUAGAUGAUGGUGAUUUCAAGUUUCUCAAAGUGUCCAUGACUACUCAAGUCUGUGGACGUGAUGAGCGAAACAGAGCUUCAAGCUUGUUAAUGAUGAUAAGGAUGAAGCUUAUAAGCCUGCUUAUCAAAGCGAGUAUCAUUCUUUUAGGCUCUUCAAAGCAUGCAUCAGCUCCCAACUCUAUGGUCUAGCUUAUAUGGUUUUCGAGUUAUCUCCGACACUCUUGCAUCAAUGAUAUGGUCAAGGAGAAUGGUAAAACAAUACAUCCACUAGCCCGGGUGUUUAUGAAACAACCAAUGGGAAUAGAGUUCGUGGUUUGGUUUAUUGAAUUUUGUGCACUGAUUCUUGUACAUCUUGAAAUUUGUUGUGGAAUCGACAUCGACAUUCUAUUGCCACAGUUUAAAACGACAGUUGAAUCAUGGCUUGAAAAACCGGUGAUAUCUCGAAGGUUGUUGCGUCGGAUAUGCAUGAAGAUAUUGGAAUUAGAAAACCAUUACGAAAUCAUUCAAAAGGUGUUGAGCAGACCAAUCUUAAUUGCCGUGGAACAAGAUAAUUAUCUAAUUCUGACAUGGCCCUUUCCAAAGAUAUCUUCAAAAUCUACAUCUCUGCAUUGAAAAAUCCUGAAACUGGCUUUUUAAAAACCAUUCGGGCUGAUAGAAAUGGAAACACAGUCCUUCAUCAUGCCGCAUUGUUAUCAUCAACCAAGAAGCUUAGCCGCUUUCUUAGUCCAUCUCUACAAAUGCAAAGCGAGAUACAAUGGUUUAAGAAAGUGGAGAAGAUUUUACCCAUGUACAAAGGAGUAGAAAACAAGGAUAACCUAAUUGAAGAGUCAAGCCACCAUUCCUUUGGCUUGGUAGGCUAGUGGGUUGGCCAUUUUUGGCAUUGUUAGGCAGUGGGAGUUACGCAGAGAGUUUGGAAGUAUUAGGCGGGUUAGGCAAUCUGCCUAACCUUGUUGAUAAUGCUUCCCUCCAAACUCCUAUAAAUAGUCAUGAUUCUCCUCUUGUAUUUGUAUCCCAAGAUAGAGGAUCAGUGACGAUCCAGAGAGAGAGUGAGAGAUCCGUUUGAGAGUUUUUAUUUGUUAAAGAAUUCUGGUUGAAAUUUUUCUGUAAAUUUAUUCAGUGAAAUAGAUUGUUUUUCUCUCAUAUCUUUUCUUUCAUUGCGUUUUGAAUCUCUAGUUUCCCAACAAGUGGUA